rnacentral:rRNA from 1 species
UAAAGUGGCGAACGGCUGAGUAACACGUGGGCAACCUGCCCUUUGCACUGGGAUAGCCUCGGGAAACCGAGGUUAAUACCGGAUACUCCAUAUUUGUCGCAUGGCGAAUAUGGGAAAGCUCCGGCGGCAAAGGAUGGGCCCGCGGCCUGUUAGCUAGUUGGUGGGGUAGUGGCCUACCAAGGCAAUGAUGGGUAGCCGGGUUGACGAGACCGACCGGCCAGAUUGGGACUGAGACACGGCCCAGACUCCUACGGGAGGGCAGCAGCG